GAUCGCAUAGCGGAGCGGAUAUUGCAUUAGACUCACGAUCUAAAGGUCGUGGGUUCGAAUCCCACUGCGAUAG